GGCUAACGCUGGCGGCGUGUCUUAGCCAUGCAAGUCGAGCGGACUUAUGGGGUAACUUAUAAGUCAGCGGCGGACGGCGGAGUAACACGUAGCUAACCUACCCUCUGGACGGGGAUAACCUACCGAAAGGUGGGCUAAUACCCGAUGUAGUCAUCCUGUAUAGGGGUGAUGAAAGGUGGGCUUCUGUUUACAAGCUCAUGCUGGAGGAGGGGGCUGCGGCCUAUCAGGUAGUUGGUAGGGUAAUAGCCUACCAAGCCGAUGACGGGUAGCCGGCCUGAGAGGGUGACCGGCCCGAGGGGCACUGAGAUACGGGUCCCACUCCUACGGGAGGCAGCAGGCUAGAAAUUUGGGCAAUGGGGGAAACCCUGACCCAGUGACGCCGCGUGCAGGAAGGAGCCCUUCGGGGUGUAAAGUUCUUUUCUAUACGAGCAGUGCUAUAUAUAUGGAUAGUAUAUAUAGAGGGAUAGUAGUAUAGGAAUAAGCAACGGCUAACUCCGUGCCAGCAGCCGCGGUAAAGCUACGU
rnacentral:rRNA from 1 species